CUUGUACCCAGCAUUUCAGAAGCCAUGUGGGGAAGAAGGCUGGGCCUAGCUUCUGGUAUAUCUAAUAUACUUACAUGAAGGAUUCAUAUAUCAGAAAGAACAUCAGUCAGAGAAGAGAAACUUUCAUUUUUUACCUUCCAUCCAAAUGUAAUAGGUUUGUACUACAGAAAGUGCCAGUUAAUUUCCAAGGAAGAUGUUACUCAUGAUACGAGGCUUUUCUGUUUGAUGCUGCCACCAAGCACUCAUCUUCAAGUGCCCAUUGGGCAACAUGUUUACCUCAAGCUGUCUGUUACAGGUACAGAAAUAGUAAAGCCAUAUACACCUGUAUCUGGUUCCUUACUCACAGAGUUCAAGGAACCAGUUCUUCCCAACAAUAAAUACAUCUACUUUUUGAUAAAAAUCUAUCCCACUGGACUCUUCACAUCAGAGCUUGAUCGUCUUCAGAUUGGAGAUUUUGUUUCUGUAAGCAGUCCUGAGGGCAAUUUUAAAAUAUCCAAGUUCCAAGAAUUAGAAGAACUCUUUUUGUUGGCAGCUGGAACAGGCUUCACACCAAUGGUUAAAAUACUGAAUUAUGCUUUGACUGAUAUACCCAGUCUCAGGAAAGUGAAGCUGAUGUUCUUCAAUAAAACAGAGGAUGAUAUAAUUUGGAGAAGCCAAUUGGAGAAAUUAGCAUUUAAAGAUAAAAGACUGGAUGUUGAAUUUGUUCUCUCAGCACCUACUUCUGAAUGGAAUGGCAAACAGGGACAUAUUUCACCAGCUCUUCU
rnacentral:sRNA from 1 species